rnacentral:misc_RNA from 1 species
AACCUAGCACACCUGCGGUGUGUACCUGCGGAGGGAUCAUUAUCCAUCCAAAACCAGCUGCGGUCGCGGCCCCACGCUUACCCGUGGCGGUACGCGCCGCACGUCUGCACCCUUUUUUUACGAGUACCUUCGUUCUCCCUCGGCAGGGCAACCUGCCGUUGGAACCAUACAAAACCUUUUUUUGCAUCUAGCAUUACCUGUUCUGAUACAAACAAUCGUUACAACUUUUAACAAUGGAUC